rnacentral:ncRNA from 2 species
UCCCCAUGUGAGAGUAGGUCAUCGUCAAGA